CCUACGGGAGGCAGCAGUGGGGAAUAUUGGGCAAUGGACGCAAGUCUGACCCAGCAACGCCGCGUGAAGGAAGAAGGCUUUCGGGUUGUAAACUUCUUUUAAGGGGGAAGAGCAGAAGACGGUACCCCUUGAAUAAGCAUCGGCUAACUCCGUGCCAGCAGCCGCGGUAAUACGGAGGAUGCGAGCGUUAUCCGGAUUUAUUGGGUUUAAAGGGUGCGCAGGCGGAAGCGGCAAGUCAGCGGUAAAAUUGCGGGGCUCAACCUCGCCGAGCCGUUGAAACUGCUCUUCUAGAGUGGGCGAGAAGUAUGCGGAAUGCGUGGUGUAGCGGUGAAAUGCAUAGAUAUCACGCAGAACUCCGAUUGCGAAGGCAGCAUACCGGCGCCCAACUGACGCUCAUGCACGAAAGCGUGGGUAUCGAACAGGAUUAGAUACCCUAGUAGUC
rnacentral:rRNA from 1 species